rnacentral:rRNA from 1 species
AAGUUUGAUCUUGGCUCAGAUUGAACGCUGGCGGCAGGCCUAACACAUGCAAGUCGAGCGGCAGCACGGGUACUUGUGCCUGGUGGCGAGCGGCGGACGGGUGAGUAAUGCCUAGGAAUCUGCCUGGUAGUGGGGGAUAACGCUCGGAAACGGACGCUAAUACCGCAUACGUCCUACGGGAGAAAGCAGGGGACCUUCGGGCCUUGCGCUAUCAGAUGAGCCUAGGUCGGAUUAGCUAGUUGGUGAGGUAAUGGCUCACCAAGGCGACGAUCCGUAACUGGUCUGAGAGGAUGAUCAGUCACACUGGGACUGAGACACGGUCCAGACUCCUACGGGAGGCAGCAGUGGGGAAUAUUGGACAAUGGGCGAAAGCCUGAUCCAGCCAUGCCGCGUGUGUGAAGAAGGUCUUCGGAUUGUAAAGCACUUUAAGUUGGGAGGAAGGGCAUUUACCUAAUACGUAAGUGUUUUGACGUUUACCGACAGAAUAAGCACCGGCUAACUCUGUGCCAGCAGCCGACGG